AGUUGCGUGAACACGGGAAAUCUCACCAGGCCCGGACACCGGAAGGAUUGACAGAUUGAGAGCUCUUUCUUGAUUCGGUGGGUGGUGGUGCAUGGUCGUUCUUAGUUGGUGGAGCGAUUUGUCUGGUUAAUUCCGAUAACGAACGAGACUCUAGCCUGCUAAAUAGGCGUAUUUUGACAUCCUAAAGGCCCGCCGGCUUGGGGUUCGCUCCUUGUCGUGCGCGGUUUUUACUGUCGGCGCACAAACAAUUCUUCUUAGAGCGAAGAGAGAAUUGAGUGAAGUUCGCUGCACCGAAUGGAAAACAUUUGAAAAUUCAGGACGCACGAGAUUAGAAAUCUUGACCUAAAAGUGAAAACAUUCAAAAAACUUGUGCCUUUAGGCUUAAGUU
rnacentral:rRNA from 13 species